UUUAGAGAGGAGACACUGUCAUAUAGUUUGUUCACUUCAUUUGGAUGCACAAUGGUAGCAGGUGGUCAACCAUCGAUUCAUCGUUUAAAACAGAUCCUGUGGCUGAUUUCUUUGAUGGAAAUAUUAGGAGCAGCUGAGCGGAAAUUUAAGUGUUCUCCAGGAUCAAUUGCAAGCAGCAUUCGACUGUUCGACAAUACAGUACGUUUUUCUAACUUAUACAUACUCUAAGAUGGCCUAUUCCAUGGUGAGUUUUUGGAAGAAGCAGAAGGUUUAAAGGGGCCAGUAGCUGUAAUUCCAGACAGCUGGCUGCUAGCAUUUUUAAAGAUUCCAGUGGUCGCAGGAUGUGCAACUGGCCAUCAAAAUCUGCAAGCUUCAUUAUUAAACACCAGAUUCCUCAUGGCCCAUACAUCCAGUUCGCCUGCACAAGUCAUUAAGACAAAGGAAGGAGAUAAAAAGAUGAUAUCUGGACUGUUGGAACAAGUAACAGGGAUGCACAGCUAACAGACAGCGAAGGAGAAAAGAAUGCCGAGGAAUCACUAUGUGAUGACCAUUCAAUGCAGCAGUGUCCACUACCAUUUCCAUACUCUCUGCCGCCAGUAGUUGUCAGCCCUAGGGUGUCCCCAAGUAGCAGCUAUCGACAAAGUACUAUUUCACCUUUGCCUUCACAUCUCCAACACUCAUUCUCAGGUUUUCAUCCUGCCAGCAUAGGGACCCACAACCCCUUGGAAGUUUCAGCUCAACUAGAGAAACUUGGGACAGCAGCAACUGUCUUUUCUGGAAGCGAUGAGAGAUGAUAUAAAAGAUGUGAAAAGGAGGCUUCAAGGAUGGAGAAACAACACCAGGAAAAGGAGGUGACAGGAGGAAAACUGCCAGAGGGGUUCCAGUUUCCCUUAUAAUCUUCAGAGGAUGUUGACCAUCUGGAGUGGGAUUGGAAGACUGACCCUGGAAAACGGACACACUUGGAAUGCCAUUUGACGAUGGGUGGAAUAUUCACUUUAAAGCAUGUGGUGAGGAGCAUACUAUCUGUGCUAUUGUCAACUGACUCAGCCCAGUGUUACAACUUCAAUGGUCUGAAAGAGAAGAAGGGACUCAAGAACCACUCCUUUAUUUUACAAACAGUUCAGGAUGCUGCAAGAAAAAGUUAUCCUGAAGCUACAGAUGCUGACCUGCAGGUGUAUACAUCAAUUUGGUUAGCUGGUGCUCGGGAUCGAGAGAAUAGCAGAAGGGAAGGGCCUGAGCACAGCCUGUACAAGUCAGUAAAUUGUUAUGGGGUGGACGACGAGUAAAGCUGUACAACUUUACCUGCAGAAAAAAAGACUGUUAGGUUUUUAACGAUAUUUUUUUUUUAUCAGCUAUUUAUAAAAGUACAAGUUUUAAAUUUGCAUAUUUUUUUUAAAUGGUUGUAGUUAAUACCAGAAGCUGCAAUCCAGCCUGGAACCGUUUAUAUUUAAUCUCGUGGAUUUUAUUUAUUAUAAGAAAUGUCUGUUGAAGCUUAAAUCACUCCCUUUUGAAAGCAAUUCAGUUCAUGCUCAUCAUUUGAUAUAUUGUAAUAGAUCUUUGAACCUUUUCUUUGGGAAAAAUCUAAUUAAUGUAAAACUGCAAUUUAAUUUUAAUGGUUUUGUCAGUGGAUACUUGUUUUUGCUUCUUCUACAACUCAUAAUCAAAUAACGAGUGUUGCAUUAACAUGUCAUGAGGAAACAUUUUUUAUGCAUUUAAAUGGGACAAUGCUUCACAAUUGUUGUAUAUUUAAAAUUAUUUUUUUAAUGACCUUGCUUUUUAUCCUUAUUUUCACAGACAUUUUAACUUCAAUAAACGUCAGUAAAAGACAA
rnacentral:misc_RNA from 1 species